GUUCAAAUGAGGAAAGGCUUAUGGUGGAUAGCUAGGCACACAAAGACAAGAAAAGGCAUAGUAAGCAGUGAAUGCUUCCAAUAGUUGAAAAUAAGCAUAGAUUUGGAGAUUCUCGAAUAGGUUAACCUUUCAAACUAUUGUUGAAUCCAUGGGCAGACAAGAGACAACCUAGCGAACUUAAACAUCUUAGUAGCUGGAGGAAAAGAAAGCAAAAUUGAUUUUCAUAGUAGCGGUGAGCGAAAUUAGAGUAGCCUAAAUCAUGAAAAUAGGGUUGUAGGAAAGCAAUAAAAGUGUCGUUCUUCUAGGCAAAGUGGUGAAGUGUCAAACCCUAGAUGAUGAUAGUCCAGUAGCUGAAAGCAUCACUAGCUUACGCUUUAACCCGAGUAGCAUGGGGCACGUGGAAUCCCAUAUGAAUCAGUAAGGACCACCUUGCAAGGCUAAAUACUCUUGGGUGACCGAUAGUGAAGUAGUACCGUAGGGGAAUGGUGAAAAGAACCUCCGUCAGGGAGUGAAAUAGAACAUGAAACCAUAAGCUCCCAAGUAGUAGGAGGAUCCUAGGCCUCUAACCGCGUGCUUGUUGAAGAAUGAGUCGGCAAAUCAUAGGCAGUGGCUUGGUUAAAGGAACCCACCAGAGCCGUAGCAAGAGCGAGUGUUCAUAGGGCAAUUGUCACUACUUAUGGACCUGAACCUGGGUGAUCUAUAUGACUAGGAUGAAGCUUGGGUGAAACUAAGUAGAGGUCUGAACCGACUGAUGUUGAAGAAUCAGCAGAUGAGUUAUGGUUAUGGGUGAAAUGCCAGUCGAACCCAAAGCUAGCUAGUUCUCCCUAAAAUGUGUUGAAGCCCAGCAGUUGACUAGAAAUCUAGGGGUAAAGCACAGUUUCUGUGCGGGCUGUGAAAGCGGUACCAAAUUGAGGCAAACUCUGAAUACUAGAGAUGACCUCAAAAUAACAUGGGUCAAGGUUGGCCUGUCACACCCCUUACCCGUAUCCGAAGCUGGAACAGGGUACGAGGCAUUAUAGGACUUAAACAUAAGCAAAUAUAAAUUAACGAGCUUACGAAGCCUAAAACAUGCAUUGGAAGUGGUUUGAGACUAAACCGAGAACUUUAGAAAUUUUUACAGCACUUAGAAAUUUUUUGCUAAAAUAGGGGUCACAUGCUUGUGUGGCUUGGGACACACUAGUGUAGGCAGGCCGUGUGGUGAUACACGCCCGUGUCCCUAACCCGUGUAACUCUCUGUUUGUCACUUAAGAAUAAAUUAAAGUCACACGACCAAGACACAUGCCCGUGUCCCAAGGUCAUGUCCUUCACAUAGCUGAGACACACACUCGUGUCUCUGUCUGUGUGCUUGAUACCGAGCAUUCUAUUUUGUAACAAUUAAGGUGCAGAGGAGACACGGUCGAAUCACACGCCCGUGGGGCUAACCGUGUGUCACACAUAGCUUAGACACACGCCGAUGUGUCUACCUGUGUGGACAAAACAAUACUUUUUACCAAGCCAUUUUGUCACCCUCACUUGCACAUAUCUACUCAAAAUCAUAUGCCAAAAAUUCAAGCAUGAAGAGCAACCAAAUAAUCACAACCAAGACAAUAACAUGUCAUUCUCAUACCAUUUUUAAACAUCCUUAAAACAUCAACUUUUCCACAUCAAGUUAUGCAAGUUUCCACAUUCACAAAUGACAUUAAUAUAAUUAUACUCAUAACCAACAUUAGCCAACUUCCAACGCUAUAUACAAAAUGAACUAUGAACCAUUCACAAUUAUGACCAUCACAUAUGAGUACCAUAUCAACAUCUAUCAUACACACAACAUUUAUCAUGCCAUAAAUCAUUCAUGUCAAUUUCACCUUCAUUAGGCUUCAUUUAACUACUUUUAGUUACCUUAUUGUACACACGAAUUUAUCAUCUCAUCAAUAGACCACAUUACCAAACAUUUCACAUUCAUGCCAUAAAUCACAUUUCCAAACAAUUCACACUCACCAUGCAUACCAUGAUCAUAUCACCAAAGGCAUUGACAUAUAUAUGAAUAUACUUAGGUUUACAACCAUGUUAGCCAAACAAGCCAAUUUACAUCGCCAAAUAUCAAAACAAGCCUUUAAUCCUUACAAGCCAAUACAUUAGCUAAAAUCAUAUGACACAUAUGACAAAAUAACCAAGUCCCUAUACAUGCCAUAACUCAAAAUAUUUGAAUUCAUCAAUACCCAAAGUGAUAGCUUGAUGUGUGAUAGGAUCUCCGCUGGUCUCCAACUUGAGCUAGCUUGACGACACUAUAAGAUAAGGGAAAGGAAGGGGGUAAGAUAUAUAGCUUAGUAAGUCCGUAUAGAAAUAAUAUGCAACUCUUAUUAAGAAUUUAUUAAGUUCAACAAUUUAAAAACAAGAUAGUACUAAUAGCUAUAAAUUUCAUAGUUAUAAUUUUAUUCAGUCACAAUGUCUACUCUAUUAACUCAUAAGCAUAAUUUAACAUAACUUGCCAUUAGCCUAACAAUCGUAAUGUAACACCCCGUACCUGAGACCGUUUCCGGAGUUGAACACGAGGUGCUAACAGACUUAAUUCAUUUAUUUUCACAGUCCAUUUUAAAAAUUUCUAGACAACUGGCUAACUGCAUCACUGUCACCUUAAAAAUCAUAUCUUGAGUUCCAAAACUCGAAAACCAAUUUUGUAAAUUUUACCUGAAACUAGACUCAAAUAUCCAUCUACAAAAUUUUUUGUCUAGCCAAUUAGUACAUUUUAUUAGUUAAAGUCUCCCCUGUUUCAGGGUUCGACUACUCUGACCUUCACGUAUUACGACUUAGAUAUCUCCUCGUACAGGGCUUAAAUACUUAUGCCGUUUGUUUCUAAAGAAACUAGACUCGAAAAGGAAUCUGUACAUAUAGGGCAUGACUUCUAA
rfam:Gossypium arboreum cultivar AKA8401 contig_35168_1, whole genome shotgun sequence.